UGGUGGUGGUAGUGGACAGCUGACUCGCUGUGAUGGUGCGGUUAAAGUUAACUUGUUUGUUUUAAUUUAUCCGCCUAUCUCACUUAUUUUACGCAUUAUCUGUCUCAUUAACCUUUUAAUAAUGGGAUUCGUCAGGCCUCUAAGGAUUCGAAUCAUGUCUCCCGGCCGGCUGGUGGCGAGACUAAUGGCAAUCCUGAGGCUGUCCGGCCUUCUCGUAUAUACCGGUGAGCUUAGGACACGCAUUCUUCACGGGACUUUGGACGGCGAGGAGAGGAUACUUGAAUAUUUAAGCCAGCUGUACACACCAGUGAGGUGGUGGUGCUGGUGGCACACAGCUGGUUUGCUGGAUGCAGCACCAAGUAGGCCAUCCACACUGUUACCAGGAGGAUGACAGUUUGUGUUGUGGUGAAGUGACUUGCAGCAUUAAAGCGGGGAGGGAGAUACAGCGGAGAUCAUCUCCCCAGGCCCUGGAGUCACAGCUACAUAGGCAGGAAGACCAUCACAAUACCACAGUAGUUGAUGCAAAGAGCAGCAAGUUUUGUGCCUCCCAGGAUGCUGCAGUGUUGCAGUGGACAUGUGUGACAUGCUUUGGUUAGUGAGAGGUGUGAAGUGUGUCAUCCGAGAAACACCCCACAAGAAUCUCUCCCCUGUCAGUGCCUACCACUGCCGUGACCUACACCACUGUCUGGCAUCUGCUCUGCUAUCAAGGAAGUCAAGUUGUUACAGCAAGAAGAGUAGGAAUCCAGAGUCUUGAGAGCAGGAAGAGUGUAGGAAAUUCCCUUAAGUUGUUGUGAUGGGACUGACUGCAAGCUGUCUUCAAAACUUGUAUGGGCAGCAGAAUGGGACAACUGGCCAUUGCUAGCUGGCCACAGGAAAUGGGUCAUUAUAUAGACAGGGAGGAAACUGCAAAUGUAUAAUUUAUGUAUUCAAAGCAGUGUCCUUCCUGCGUCUUCUGAACCCGGUGCGUCUUCCAAGCCAGAGAUGCCACAGCUCCUGCACAGCAUGUAUAUGAUGUGCAUACAGUGCUUUGUAUGCCUUUGCCAAUAAAUCAGCAACUUCUAA